AUUGAACGCUGGCGGCAGGCUUAACACAUGCAAGUCGAGCGAGCGGCGGACGGGUGAGUAAUGUCUGGGAAACUGCCUGAUGGAGGGGGAUAACUACUGGAAACGGUAGCUAAUACCGCAUACUAUCAGAUGUGCCCAGAUGGGAUUAGCUAGUAGGUGGGGUAAUGGCUCACCUAGGCGACGAUCCCUAGCUGGUCUGAGAGGAUGACCAGCCACACUGGAACUGAGACACGGCCAAGACUCCUACGGGAGGCAGCAGUGGGGAAUCUGGCACAAUGGGCGCAAGCCUGAUGCAGCCAUGCCGCGUGUAUGAAGAAGUCCUUCGGGUUGUAAAGCACUUUCAGCGGGGAGGCGUUACUCGCAGAAGAAGCACCGGCUAACUCCGUGCCAGCAGCCGCGGUAAUUC
rnacentral:rRNA from 1 species